rnacentral:rRNA from 1 species
AUUGAACGCUGGCGGCAUGCUUUACACAUGCAAGUCGAACGGUAACAGGGAGCUUGCUCCGCUGACGAGUGGCGAACGGGUGAGUAAUAUAUCGGAACGUACCCAAGAGUGGGGGAUAACGUAGCGAAAGUUACGCUAAUACCGCAUACGAUCUAUGGAUGAAAGCAGGGGACCUUCGGGCCUUGUGCUCCUCGAGCGGCCGAUAUCUGAUUAGCUAGUUGGUGAGGUAAAGGCUCACCAAGGCGACGAUCAGUAGCUGGUCUGAGAGGACGCCCAGCCACACUGGAACUGAGACACGGUCCAGACUCCUACGGGAGGCAGCAGUGGGGAAUUUUGGACAAUGGGCGCAAGCCUGAUCCAGCAAUGCCGCGUGAGUGAAGAAGGCCUUCGGGUUGUAAAGCUCUUUUGUCAGGGAAGAUACGGCUGUGGCUAAUAUCCACGGCUAAUGACGGUACCUGAAGAAUAAGCACCGGCUAACUACGUGCCAGCAGCCGCGGUAA